rnacentral:rRNA from 1 species
UACGAAGGGGGCUAGCGUUGCUCGGAAUCACUGGGCGUAAAGCGCACGUAGGCGGAUUGUUAAGUCAGGGGGUGAAAUCCUGGAGCUCAACUCCAGAACUGCCUUUGAUACUGGCGAUCUCGAGUCCGGGGAGAGGUGAGUGGAACUGCGAGUGUAGAGGUGAAAUUCGUAGAUAUUCGCAAGAACACCAGUGGCGAAGGCGGCUCACUGGCCCGGUACUGACGCUGAGGUGCGAAAGCGUGGGGAGCAACAGG